rnacentral:rRNA from 1 species
UAUAUUAAAGUUGUUGCAGUUAAAAAGCUCGUAGUUGGAUUUCUGGCGGGAGUGAUCAGUCCAGCUCUAUGAGUUGGUACUUGAAUCGUCUCCCACCAUCUUUCAGGAAAACCUUUCUGGCAUUAAGUUGUCGGGUAGGGGAUCCUGAUCCUUUACUGUGAAAAAAUUAGAGUGUUCAAAGCAGGCUUAUGCCGUUGAAUAUAUUAGCAUGGAAUAAUAAGAUAGGACUAUGGUACUAUUUUGUUGGUUUGUGCACCAUGGUAAUGAUUAAUAGGGACAGUUGGGGGUAUUCGUAUUCCAUUGUCAGAGGUGAAAUUCUUGGAUUUAUGGAAGACGAACUACUGCGAAAGCAUUUACCAAGGAUGUUUUCAUUAAUCAAGAACGAAAGUUAGGGGAUCGAAGAU